AUAAGGUGUAUGAAAAAUAUCUCAUUGUAAAAAUUAACUUGGAUGUUUUGAAAAUCUUAAACUCCUUAUUCUGUCCCCCAUUAUUUCCUUUUGUAAUUUUUUCAAAUGGUUAUGUAAAGGAACUGAACCCACUAUUUACAAAGCAUGAAUCUCCUUAAAAGCCAAACAGAGAGGCAAGAAGAAAGGAGGGCUCCACAUGUACAUGAAGAUUCUUUAGGGUCGGGGUGUCAUCUGGGGGGAACAUCUGCUUGCUUUUAUUGUGCUGGAUUGUUAACAUACUCCUGGGGAGCCAGGAACAUGUGUACCCAAUUUUGUGAUUCUCACUUAGUGAAUGUCGGCAGAGUGAGCAAAUAAAUGAAUAAACACA
rnacentral:lncRNA from 1 species